GCAAAGUGUCUGCCUAGUGAGAACAAAUCACACCAGCCCCAUCUCCCAGUGAAUCUGGCAGUGAACGGUGAAGCGGAGCUGUGACUGCAUCUGUAACAACUGCAGCAGCAACAGAGCAGAACUGGGCACAAGGAAGACACUCCAAGCUGUCUGGGUGAUCAGCAGCUAUGCUCUGCAACCCUUCACUCAGUCCUUAGUUGGGACAAUGGCUGCAAGACCAAGUUUCCAGCAAGGUCAAGAAAGGUGAAGAAAGAAGGUAGAAGCAAGAAAGUCAGAAAAGGCCUAAAUGAAAUUCUCAAAUUACUGUAAGCAGACAGUAGAAAUAGGCUGAAAAGAAAUGCAAGUACAAGAGGAAACCACCUGAGUUAGUGUAGUUAGGGCCGAACUAACAUUUUUCAUCUGAGAGCCUGAGAAAGUCUCUUAAAAGAAGCUGUUGCUACAAGGUUGGACCUCAUUGUUUCAAGGACCUUUUCCUACCUGAAUGAUUCUGUGUCAGUGGCAUGCAAAGUUACAAGCAAAAAUCAGUGUAUCCACCUGUGUCUCAUACAGAAAUAUUCUUUAACACUAGGUUUUCACUCUGGGGAAGACAUUUAUCUGGAACAGACAAGACCCUACCCAAAGCAGUUGACCACAACUAGUUCGGACAAAAGGUCCAUUCAAAUCUGGGGUUAAAAAUCCUGCUUUAAAUAGCCAGGAUCAGAAAACUGUAACAAAAGCAUUCACCUCUAGGCAGGGUAAUCUGUCCAUGGAUCAUGGCAAAUAGCUCCAAAACAAAGCAAAUCAGAGAGACAGUUACUUACAGCAUGGCAUCUGUCUCAGAAAAGAAAGCAGCAAUCAUGAAAUGCAGUAACAAGAGCAGUGCCUCAAAAGUAUUUCCCUACAGCAAGCUAUGGAGGGAGCAAGAUGAGGUAAUUAAAGCAGCCAGGAAGUACUAAGAGAUAUUUGAAGCAUGUGAGGCACAACCAUUGUCCAAAAUUAUACUAAAGCCAUUUCCAUGAUUACUGAGACUUUUCCUCCUUCAAUUAAAUUCACUUGGAAUCACCUGAACCGUCAAAAGCCAUAGGAUAACUAUCAGCAGCACUAUCAGGGCAAAGUGUGCCCAAGGAAAUCUCUGACGGGGGCCCCAGGCAGGUUGGGGAGGGACUGUUCAGAAGGGCUUGGAGUGACAGGACAAGGGUGAUGGUUUGAAAGUGGAGCAGGGCAGAUUUAGGUUGGACCUCAGGAGGAAGUUGUGCACAAGGAGAGUGGUGAGACACUGGCACAGGCUGCCCAGGGCUGUGCUUGAGGCCCUGUCCCUGCAGACAUUGAAGCUCAGGCUUGCUGUGUCCCUGUGCAGCCUGCUCUAGCUGGAAGUGUCCCUGCUGAGUGCAGGGGGCUUGGAGAGAUGCCCUUGGAGGGUCCCUUCCAACCCAAUGCAAUCUGUCAACUGUAGAAGCUUUCCUUUAGGCCAGCGAAGGUCAGUUAGAACCACACAAGGACAGGCUUUCAAUUCAAGGUUAGGUAGAAGCACACAGGUACAGGCUUUCAAUUCUGUU